UACGGGGGGAGCAAGCGUUGUUCGGAUUUACUGGGCGUAAAGGGCGCGUAGGCGGCGUGACAAGUCACUUGUGAAAUCUCCGGGCUUAACCCGGAGCGGCCAAGUGAUACUGUCGUGCUAGAGUGCGGAAGGGGCUACUGGAAUUCUCGGUGUAGCGGUGAAAUGCGUAGAUAUCGAGAGGAACACCUGCGGCGAAGGCGGGUAGCUGGGCCGACACUGACGCUGAUGCGCGAAAGCCAGGGGAGCGAACAGG
rnacentral:rRNA from 1 species